UCGAUUAUAUCGGCGUCCUGCGCUGCUGCUGCUGCUCUGUCUCGUCUUUCCUCUCGUGGAUCCAGUUAGGGAACGGGUUAAGGUCGUUUCUCACGGUGAUACUUGCUGCAAUUUAUCGUGGAAAUCGGAGACGGUUGGAUGGAACGCCGCGAAAGCGGAUUCGGAGCACAGCACGGUCCAAGAGUAACUGAAGAAGGCCAACAAACGGCGACCAUCAGCUGGUUUCCCGAUUACUUUGCCCCCUCCGUAGCCCAUGGGGAACCCACAUGUGCCGGCCAUAUGGGGGGGAAAAAGUUAGUGGAGGGCUCGAGAGACAAACGUGGAGUCUACCUCUUUCGUUUGCACCCUCGGUUUCGAGCCCCCGCUUCCGGCCUCCACGCGCGUGCCAACAAUUUUUUAAACUUGCAAAGAUUUCCUCGGUGCCUCGUGUUACAGUGGAAUUCAUCACUUACCUGUCCAUGGAGAUGCAAACAAUAGAUGUAUCGUGUUUCAUAACCAGAUUGCGAAUGCCUAUGCUAAUUCAUAUUUUUAUCAAUGCGAUUAAAUGAUAUUUAAGUAGAAAUUUGUUUUACGUAUUAAAUAUUAUACCGCGUUGCCGUAAAUCUUUAGUAGGUAUUAGCAUUACAUGUUUAAUAUUAUUUGAAAUUUCGCUCUAGAUAUUUUAUGCAUUUUUUCUUUAAUAAUUAUAAAGUUUCACUUGAAUUUUCAACUCUUACACAGGGUAUAAGAUAAUAGAAAAAGUAUAUGAUACGAUACAAUAAUAUUUGAUUAAAGGUAUGCAAAAUCAAUUAGUUACGCUUAGAAUAUAAAAGAACCACGCUUAAGUUAUUUUUUUACAUUUAUAGUCUAAUGACUUUGUAAAAGCCUAGUAAUUGUUCUAAUUACCGAUUCGUCAUUGAUUCGUACAUUUUAUUACAUUUACUGCAAAAAUUGGUUAAAGUCACUUCUUACGAGCAAUACCAUGAUAGAGGUCACAUAAGUGGAUUUAAUCAUUGCAUUAAUUAAAAUUUAAGGAUCAAGCAGGGAAAUAACGAAUAAGAAUUACAUAAACAUUACUGGAAGGCAUAAAUGAAUUACAUAUUACUUCAUCAAGGUGCAAAGAAUUUAUUAUAAUGAUAAAUAACAUAUAUAAAAUCUCAUUGGACAAAUGAGAAAGGAUAUCAUACGUUAAUCGUGCUUGAAGAUUCCAACUAUUGCGCGCCUUGUCACUGAGUUGAGCCAAAUGGCAAUUAACGUCGAUUUGCCGAUAACUCGCUUGCAUAAGUAUAUCUAUGCGCAUCUACGAUGCAAACACAGGAACGACUAGGUUUACAGACAGUUUAAUUAAAGGCUCCGAUAUCCAGUAUAGCAAAGCAGCUCCAAAUGGCAGUUUAAACAAACAGAAGUUAUCCACACAGAAGGAUAUUCUGAAUCGGACAUCGACCCAGGUUCAUCUCUAAAUGCUAUUACGUAACAAGCAAGCUAAUCUUUUAAUCAAGAAUUACCAUCAAUCAAAACUCUGAAAGAGAAUUACGUUUACCGACGAACGUGAGAGACGUUUGGACAAAUUUUUUGUUCUCUAUAUACGGUGGUUACAAAAAAAGUAUUUUUAUUUAAAAAAGUAUUUUAUACUUUGUUGUAUCUGUUAUAAAAUGUAUAUAUUAAUUAAUUAGAUUUAAAUAUAUUAAAUUUCGUGUCAUUUAGUACUUCCAUAUGACUAGAGAAAAUUGAAAUGCUGUCAAAAAUGGAAUGUAAUACCUGUUUAAAAAAGUCGCUUUCUUGGAGAACAAACGUAUAUGCUAAUAUUUUUUAUAGCCACUGUAAUAUAAUACAAUUUGGACGAUGGGAUAUGUUGCUUAAUUCUAUGGUUCCAGGGCAACUAGCGUCUAUUCGAGACACGUACCGCGCAUUAAUUCCACGUGACAAGCAUCCGCAAAUGCAAAGCAGAAUCAAUGUAUAAUGAAAAUUUGGAUCAUUAGAUCAAAGUCAUAGUCACGGUAGACAGUCAUUUUCAAAUUAUAGUAACUUCUUUAGUGAUCAAACAGAAAUAUAUUUAAAAGUACUCUGAUGGAUAUUUGACAAAUAUUUCUUUAAUUUAUAACUUGUCGUAAAAUCACUAUCUCAUUUCCAAGAUCUGGAUCAUCAAACAUUCAAAUAUUAAUUAUCUCGUUUAUGAAAAAUUAGAAAAAUAUUCGAGGAAUUCUAUCGAUAUCUCAUAAAUAUUUGCUUCAUUUAUAAUACUACGUACUUUGUGCAGUUACAAUUUUUCUAUUACUGUCCAAGCGGUCCGCAAAGUGAUAUAUUGCGACAAAAGGCAGUGAAUUCGCGUGGAGAACGUGUCGGUUCAGCUCGAUCUGUCUGCAUUCCACGAUGUCCACGAUAUUGUCAUGGGGACUUCUGGCAAGCCAUUGUGGAACGUCGGGGGAAUCGAGUAAAUUGGCUGAAUUGCCACGUCCGAGAAUCGUAACACGUCGAUGCAGACACGAGAUAAAAUCACUCGAAUUACAGCGUAGAAUAGUUUGGACAGAGAUGCUGCUGUUUCCAUGCACAAUAUGCCCGGAUCUUCCGGGAUCUUUCAGCUAUUUCUCAGUGAGAGAAACCGUCCAAAUUAAUUGUCUCGAUUUUUUGAAGGCGAAUCAAGUUGCUUCUGAAGCUUAUUCCAACAGAGUUAAAAUUUAUAUGUCCCUAUAUCUACAGGAAUUUAAUAGCGAUCUUAACUCGCACCUCCAUAUUCAUCUAUAUGAAUUUAUAUUAGUCGUCUCAACCGAUUUUAUAGAAGCAGAAUUUAACACUAAGGCCACUAAUUUAUAACACGUGCAUCUAAAUGUAUAUAUUAACAUAGACUAUUAUAAAAGUAAGUAAUAUGUUAAAAAUAAAUAGUUACACUUUCGUAAUUUUCUCUUACAGAAUUUCUUUCUCUUUCUUGUUUUAAUUUGUAAUCUUUCGUAGAAAUGUUGUAGAGUUAAGAGACUACAUUCUUGAGGAUAUGCACGAUUUUUCUUUGCAAAACGUUUAAAUAGAUACACAUGUUCUUUCGUGUAUUUCCGUUUUGAUUCCUCUGGUGCAAGUUUUAAUACUUUGCUUGUAAUCUCAAAUAAUUGAAUGUUCUAGUAUCGACGAAUCGACAUUUCAACGAAGGAUAACAUUAAUCAUCCGUCAGUAAUCAUCAAUUAACAUUAAACAACUGCAUAUUUGUAGCAAUUAUAAGAACAACAAAUGCCAGAUUCAUAAUUGCACCGAGUAUGAUAAUUCCUACCAAGAAAGCAACUAAAAGUUUCUAUACCCAGUAAAAAUUCUCUGAUUCGCUACUACAAUCAUUUUCCAGCUUAAUAUGCAGUUCAGGCAUAUUUCUGCAGGUCUUGAAUGUAACGCGAAAGCUAUUUCCCUCGCAGCUCGAGAAAAGAGGCAAAGCAUGAAGAUGUUAAAACACAAAAUGCGAUGCGUACGCCGGCAAUAAAAGUCUCGCGGCCGUAACUACGAAAGUGAAAAGUUUUGUUCAACGACAGAUGGUUCCAGCAUGUGCAGCGAGUUGCAAGAUAUUAAAAAAAAAGUUGGACGUUCCCAUUGGCGCGAUAAAAACCCGGCAUAAAUUAUCACGUGUGUCUCUGUACAAACUUCCAUCCGUAUAUUGUAUUAUCUCUCUCUCUCUCUCUCUCUCUCUCUCUCUUUCGCUCUCUCUCUCUCUCUCUUUCCGUGUAGCAUCCUCACGCUAAAUUAUUUCGUCUAAAAUUUAAUUAUGGAAACUUGAGAAGUUAAUUUAUACCGACAUACUUCUCAUCGCGAGUGAGUAGAAUUUCGGAACGAAUGUUUGUAAUAAUUUAAACAAAAUUACAGACGAAGGACGAUACAUCGAUCAGUUGGGUCAGAAAAUUGAUUCCAUUCGAAAUCAUCAAAUCCCCCAGCUGCGCCUAUUCUUUAAUGGCCAAUCGGCGCGUGCAACAUAAAGGCACACGACACCACUCUUACAGCUGCCGGAAGUAUACAUCUGCUGCCAGCUUCUACUAACCGUGCCGUGAAGCUUGGCCCACCUUUCCACCGCAACGCGGCAUUUUUCAACAUUGUUUCCUGGUUACUUCGUUUAUUUCUCGAUAUUAUUAUUCGAAAUAUUCAUUGCCAUAAUAGUCUAUAGACUGUGGAUUCUUAUCCACUUGUGGGGGAUACACAUAACAUGUGAAAAUACAGAAAACGUCCAAAGUACAGUACUCAUUAUGGUAUUUAGCUUCUGCUUAGAUUCUAUCUUUCAAAUUGUGUUUGUAGAAACAUAAAAUUGCAUAGGUAUCUGCGGUCUAUGGACAGCGUUUUUCGGUGAUCGAUAUUUUUUUGAAAUUCAUAUUACAUAAAAAUAGAUGGUCAGAUUUUAUUAAAAGUGUAUCUUUAUACAGUAUGAAAAGUCGUAGGCUACUAGACUAUUAUAAAUAAAAGGAAAUCAUCGCUGAAAAGAGAAAACACUAUAUAUAAGCCAUCAAAAGAAACGGUGUAUAUAUUAUUCAACAGCGUCUUUAAAUAUUUUUAAAAUUCCACUGCUAAUUUAUGCCCAAUAUUUCCAGGAAAAGCGAUAAGAAGAUCACCAUUGAAAAUAUCAUGAAAGAAGAAAGGUGACUCCCCCUCUCACGUUUUGAAAAAUCAGAAACAUCUGCCAGGAAACAGUGAUCUUUGAUUAGAGCCUGGCUCGUGCCACACACCUAGAUUUCUCAAUCCUUGGCCGACGAAGCUCGAAACGUUCGGUGAAAGGCAACGAAAAUUCCACACAAAGGAUCUGCCAAGUUCCGUAACAUUAAACGAAAUAACUUGGAAUUUAAAAAAUCGGAAAAAUUCAAGAAGCGAGGUAACGCAUUCAAUUACUCUGACUAUCAGCGUGUCCGCUAUCAAAUAUUGAACUAAUUAACUUUAUGUAGCCGAAGACACGCACGCUUCAUCAAAUGCGAUACGAACAAGGAAACCAACUCGAUAUCGACAGUCCUGAUACUGCAAUUGGUCUUGGAAAGAAUAAGCCACCAACAUCUUCGUCCCUCCGUGGAAGAUAAAUGAACGCAAUUGUGGAGACAACUGCUCGAGAUGGGAGAAAAAAUUUUCAAGUAUGUGCUGCACCUGUAAAACAGUGUAUACAAUUCUUCAACAUCUUAGGUUUAUCAGCAGAAACAAUUUAUCUCUCGUUGCAUUGGUCGGUUUGCACUCCCGAAAAUCUUUUCUUGAUUAUUUCAAUGUAAAUUGAUUGAAAUAAUUACAGGAUUGUAUAUCGUAGCUGUUGUUCAUACAUUCUUGUACGAUAGCCUUUGAAACUAUUUUUCUUCUUAUCUGUUCGAACAUUUUUAUAAAAAGUGUUAAUUUCAUAUAAAUGAAUUGAUACAAAUUUAUCAAAUAUACAUAGUUGAUCCAAUAGAAUCCUUUUAUAAUUUCAAUCUUCUAAUCGUUUCGACCAAUGUAGUAUGCAAAAUUAUUCAAUGAAUCCAAGUUUGUAGACUCCGUUUCACUUAUUAACCCAUGAAACUUUAUGUUUUCAUCUUUGCUUUCAUUCAAAUAAUUUUACUCAUCUGAUAAAGUCAAUUCCCUAAUCGUUUCAACCAAUGUGAUAUCCAGAACUAUUAAAAGGAUCCAAGCUUGUAGCAUUUCGCUUAUUAACUCAUGGACUCUGACAUUUCCAUAAUGUCUUUACCGUCGUUCAAAUAAUCGAUCUAACAGAAUCGAUCCCCUAACUGUUUCAACCAACAAAUAGUAUCCAAGAAUAUUUAAAGAAUUUAAACGUGCACACUCCGUUUCAUUCAUCAGCCCAUGGAACUCUAUAUUUCCAGGUUCCAAGCAUCUGCCACCAGCUACUUUACACCGCUGUCGAUAUAAAAAAAGAUAUUAAAAAAAAAACAAACGAAGGAAUCCUGAUCCCACGAAUAUUCGUGUCUCAAGUUUUCCAAUCGACCUAUUCCGGGGAAUUCGGUGGCCGAUCGGCAGAAACGAGUCUGCUCGCAACCCUUUCUCGUAUUUUCACCCCCGCAGCUGACGAACACGGGGAUACCACCUGACGGUUCAACCAGGAACAGCUGUUCGCUCCCCUCUCGACCACCCUCUGCCUUCUCGUUCACGGCCACACUGUAGCCAGUCGAAAAAAUCGAAACGAUUUCGUGUGGAAAAAAAGGCAUCAGCCAGCUCGAACACCCGGCAGGAUGUUCCCGGGGAUGAUUAGAGAUCGUCGGAAUUAAAAGGGGGCGAAUUAAACUCGCGAGAAUCGUAGGCCAACGGUCAGCACCCUUUUGGAUAAUUCGAUUUUGGAUUUUCGACUAUAGCGAGAUACGCUAUAGAAUGAAUUAUGCUAUGCAAUUGGUUCGUAAAUCCUCGUUCAUGGUAUUAUAGCGUUAGCUACAGCGUUUUACAAUACACGCAGACACGUAGAUUUAUAUUUAUUUAUAGAUAAUCGAAUCGAAUUAGUUGGUAAAUGAUCGUGCAGAAGGCGUUUCGAAUUCGCGUCUCGGAGUAAAAUUUAUGAAACAGGCUAUUCGAACAUUGAAUGUCAGAUGAGUGGAAAAAGUGAUGUUAUCGGACUUCGUAAGUCUCGAUAGAGAUUGCCACGUUCGAACGAUAGCAGAAAGUUUCAGAAGCAGUUGUUCGUAACUUUCAAUGAAGAUUGCAAAGUGGAAUGGCAAUUCCGAGAACUUGGACGUUGGAUUUAUUGUCCCCUCUGGGAAUUUAAAUCCUCUAGAUACGUAAGUUUGCGUCUUCUCCAGGAAAAUGAAGAAACACGUCCAAUUAUAUUCCAAGGGAGAACUUAAAACUCUCGCAAAGCGUACAAGUAAGAUUUAUAAAUUUUUGAAACAGAAAUCGCCAGACGAAGAUUUUCGAACGAUAAUAAAAAGUUUCGGAAUAGCGAUAUCAAAAAAUCGAACGUCGUCUGAGAAUUUCAAUCUUCGAGAUACGAGAUACGAUGUCCUUCGAGAGAAUCAAGAAACGUGUCCAAUUAGCAGAGCUUAAACUCUUAUCUUCGUAUAUAUCCACCAGAUCUUCCAAUUUUCAACGAGAAAUUACUAGAUAUGAUCUUUCCUUGCCGCCCUACAAAAUCAGUCUCGUUCGUGUGGCAACCGUUGCUGCUCGAAAAUGCUACGAAGGUGGUCAUCGAUUAGAAUCGGCGGGAGAUUCGAAUCGAGGCUAACGGUUUCUUUAAUCGAUCGCUAAUUAAAAUCUCGAAUAAAGAUAAAUCAGCAUCGGUAAAUCUUUGAUGGAGGAACGAUUCAGUGUGAGAAAGAGCAUAGAUUCCCUUGGUAACAGCAGCUUGGACGUAUUUUCGCCGAACGAACGUCGAAGACAACAAAAGUACCUCGACGGAGCAGAUGCAUGGCAUGUGCUACGAACCGACACCAGAUGCCCCAUUGGCGUAGAGAGAUCCCCAAGGCAAGCUGCCACGAUAAACCUGCCCAUGGGAUCCUUUUCAACCUGGUCGCGUGCCAGAUAGAGUCUUCCUAUGGGUUCUUCUAGUGUCCACAGCCCACAGCCACCGUGAUGCUUCCUGGAUUUCUCUGUUCUCUUGGAUCCCUUCAAAAUCUCCAUAGUGUACAAUGUACACGUUCCUCGACUUCUUCGAGCUGGACAAGCUGAAAGGACGUUCUCUUCGUCUGUUCCUUUGUGGCAGAUGAAAAGACAAAUUAUCUGGAAAAUUGUUUUUCGACGACAAACGAUCGUUGUUUACAAUGUCAUCUCUCAAGGUACUGUGCUUGAGAAAAGUAUGAUAUUUCAAUACUUACCGUGGAAACCUUUUGUGUACACCGACGGCCAUAAGAAUUAGGUCAGUUGAUGAUAUUUGAUACAAAUACAUAUAUGCCUUUCACUUUUAUUUUCUACUUAUUUUAUUAUGGAUCUGUAAUUUUAUUCGCGCCACACAUACACGUCUUGCCACGUAGAAUACUACAUGAAAUAAAAUUCGUUCAAUUUUUCCGAUAAAUAUAACGAAUAAAUGUUCUGAUACUUAUGGUCAGCAGUGUAUGUAUUAGACGUGCUAUAUAAAAUAUUUUGAGCUUUCGUUAGCACUGUAAAAAACAAACCGCGGAUUUUUAUGCGUUUAUUGAAAAUUUGAGCAUACAAAGAUGCCUAGAAUACAUAUAAUAUGAAAAAAUGAAGAAAACAUUGAAACUCUUUUCGAUAUUCGAUACAGCACCCUUUACGAUAUCUAGUAAAUUAGACAACCUUCUACGUAAGUUCCAUUUUGUAAAUUAUGUGUAUAAAAAUGCAAAUUCGCAUAAAUAUCCGCAGUCUAAUAAUGAUGCAUGAUUAAUCAUCGUAGAAUGGAGCUAUGAAAAAAAGAGUUUAAUUAACUUAGCGCUCGUUUAUUUACUGGUCAAUGUUAUCUACAAUGAUUUAUUGUAAAAGUAACAAUAGUCGUAUAUAAGUUAAAACGAUAUAUUACACAUAUGUACAAGUGGUGAGUCGAUCCUGACUCGAUCUCGUGGAAACGUGUUCAUCGCGAAUAUUUAAAGGAAGUUGUCGUUCAGAGGAGGCACGCGAUUUCAUCUUCACGCUGCGUGAUUCAUUUUUCCAGCCAUUUUUAAAUAAGCUCGAUUAUUAAAGAAAAAAACAGAUUCUUUAAUAUUCGCACAAUGUUUCAAAUUAUCAAAGAUAGGGAAAAAUGUUCGAUGAAAGUGAAAGUUGUUUAAUUUCAUAAAAGUAAUUUAAUUAAAGAUCUGAAUUUCUCUCUUAAUUGCCAUCUUUAAUGGUUUCAAUACUGUUAUUACACAUAUUGCUAAAUUCGUAUUGGAAUGUGCAACUAGCUAUUAAUAAUUUUAUUCUAAAAAAUAGUAAUUAAGAACAUGGAAAACAUUCAAGUAUUUCAUUAAAUUCCCCAUUAUGGAAUCAAACUACUUUUACAUGAAAUAUUCGUUCGCAAUUUUAUUAGUUACAAAAAUAAUAAUGCGUCCAGUCGUUCUCGAUCUUUACGUUGAAAAAUAUAAAUUAUAAGUGGGCUUAAAUUAUAAGUAAACGUAUAUAUAAAAAAUUUAACUGUGCAUGAGUCCAUAGAAUACACAUAGUAUUUAAAAACACAUAAACUGCACGGUAAAUACCUAAAAAUACAUAAAGAGUAUAAAUAUUUGUUUCAAUAUUUAAUAAGUGGAAAAGAUCUCUUCUCUUCGAUUUCAUUUUUUAAAUCAUGUGUGUGAAAGUGUAAAUCUGCACGAGUAUUCUAGCAGUCUAGUUAUAACGGAUUGUAAUAGAUUGAAAUCGAAUUUUUCAAUGAAACUGCGUACACGGUAAUUAUUUAAUUAUAGUCAAACAUAGGCAUCGUAAGGGUUAAAGCGUAAAAAUAAACGAAAUGGAACGUCGUCUCCACGAGAUCGAUGAUCGUGGCAGAAAAUUCUCUCUGGUUCUUCGAGCGAGUGAUUCGUGAUCAAAGGUUCGAUCGUCGAUCGAAAAUCACUCGCCACAAUUUAUGCUCCGAUUUACGACUUUUUCAUCGAUCCAAUGUCGACGUUGAACAAUUGUCCUCGUACACCAGGAACGAUUCGUCGCUGACUUAAUCAUCUAGAAAUAUUCUAUAAACCUAUCUAAUCGAUGAACUGUCUUUUUAGAAUUCGAUAUUAGCUAGCGUUAAAUAUUUUUGUCGCUCCAUCGACGACACUGGAUCCCCCAAUCGUAUACGAAUUUUUAAUCGGAAUCGAUCGAACAUUGCAUUGCACUGUUUUUCCUUUCCUUUCCUUUUUUUUUUUUUUUUUUUUUUUUGUAAGUUCUUGAGCAUUUCUGGUUUGAAAUUAGCGUGUAGAGUAAGCUUUACGAGUAUAGCUUACGCAGAUUUUUAUGCGUUUAUAUGGAAACUGCACGGAGUGCACGUAAUAUAAAAAAAUGUAUAAAAUGUCCAACGUAUACUGCUUUCUAUAAUAUUUGGCAGGCAAAACAAUUUUCUACCGAGAGUUCUACUUUCUUUAUGUUUAUCUUCAAAAAUAUGAAUUUGCAUAAAUAUCCACCGUCUAUUUAUGGGGUCAAGAUUUACGAGCCUGACUUAAACGGAGGCACUUGGUAAACUUUUGGAGAAAAUGUUGAGAAAACGGGCACAAAUGCGAUGCAAUAUUCGAACGAUCAAAAAACUUGAUAAUUUCGAAUUAUCACACGGUUACGGUAAAAUAAUCUACAAGUUUGUUCUAGGAGUAUUUAGUUCUGAUUUCAACGGACGUCUCUCCUCGCUUUUCAACCCUUCAAAUGUGCAAAAUCAGUCGAUAUCGAUAAAACUGACGCACUAAACUGCAGAUGUUCAAGCAAAUUUGCAUUGGGGAAUAAAGCCAAAGGAAUAGAACUUAGAUAGUUUGAUAAAUAUCAUAAUGGAUAUCACUUUAUAUUGUUUAUAUGAUUUUGAACAUUAUGUACAUAUUUGAACACUAAGAUUUCCCAUAUUUGUAUAAAUAUCCGCGGUAAUAAAAAUAACGUAACACGAUGACUAUGUUGUUUAAGAAAACUGAAAUGUGCAGGACACUAUAUGAAGUGUAUCCGUUCACUACUCCGGAAAAA